AGAGAGAGAGAGAGAGGAGUCAACAGAAGACAGAGAGAGGAGAGAGAAGGUGGCGAUCGGUGGCGGUGGUGACCGAGAGCGUCCCCGACUUCGUCGAUACAUUUUACAACCUUGUCGCUGACAUCUGUGAGUGGGGCUAGGGCUAUUCCUUCCACUUCUCCCCCUCUCCUUGAUGUCUCCCCCAGCUAAAAAAUUAGAUCGAAUAAUGGCUGUAGGUUGCAGGAAAAGAACCUAGAAAUCAGGAGCGGUCCUGUUCCUUCUUUGAUCUCAGCGAUUUGUGUUCUUGUUCAUGGAGGUGUGCGUAGACCUCUGCCGUUGGUGGGUGUUAGGUGUUGGUGGCAGAGUACGCCGGUGUGGGGAUCUGAGACUGUGGGCGGGUACUUCUUCGAUGGCUGUCUUUUUUGGCUUCCACUGGACUGGUUCUUCUCUGCGAGUUCUUCCUUUGCUACGUCAAAGCUGUUCUCCGUUUUGGUUCGCAGGUUUGUGGUUUCUGUUGCAGUGUGUAAUGGAGAAUCACGCUUCCCCGCUCAGGUGAGAAUUCGUAUUAGGAAAAGUCUGCAAGGCCUUGGAGGAAGAUCCUUUUGGGCCUGUCUUACACCACUAUGAUUGCCCCAAGUUCCGACUUGAGCUCUCUGUCCCAGAGUAAAGUUCGAGUAGAAGAAUUGGGAACACUGCAUUAUCUUGACAACUUGCAGAAUAAGGAGCGAUUUACUGAACAAGGGUACUCAAUAACUUCCAAAUUAGAAGUCAGUUUAGCAAAUCAAUUUACUUUUCCUACUUUUGUGCACAUGGUUUACCAUCUUAGGAUAUCUUAUCGAUGCUGUGUAGGUGGACAAAAUGUCAAAAUAUACCUCAGCACGCAUACAAAAAUUGUGAAUGAGGAAGUGCAUUUUCUUUCCGUCACUGAAAUGCAAGGUACAUCGUUCACUCGAAAGGUACCUCAUAUGCAAAUGUUUAGCUUGGAAGGUACAUCAUUUCUCUUUUCUGAAAAGAUAUGUAAGGUGCAUCGAUUUUUUUGGCCAUUCUUUCAGUUAGACUGGUCUAUGUUACAAAUAGGAUGAUUUGUGUUCGAGGUUCAAGAUCUCGACUCAGCUUUAGGUCUUCAAAUAGCGACCCAAAUUUCCCGUUUACCUCUUGUCUUGUAAGAUCUGCUUCUCUUGGAUUUAGUGGCAAAGAGUGCCUACGGUAGAACCCAAGUGUUUGGUGAGUAAGUGAAAUAGCCUCACCUAUUGCCCAUCCAACCUUUUUCCCCACAUUAUAGUGGUAUAAUUGACAUAAUGCUAUGAGUAUGUUACAAUAUUGAUAUUGCAAUGAAGUUACAGUUGAUGAUGGUGCUAUGAAUUCUUUGACUCUCCUUUGGCAAGUUCAAGUAAUGUGGGACUAAUUGGUGUUAAUAUUGUUAGCCUCUUUAAUAGACCUAUAAAACUUGCAGGUUGAACAAACUGUGUUUGUGCGUGUAUUUGAUCUUUUUGGACUAAUUAGAGGUGAUAUGUUAUAUUGACCUUCAUUUUUGUUUCUUUGUAAUGUUUAGUUCGUUCUGUUGUUCAGUCGUUCAGUCUAGGAGGGUGUAGUUUUUAUUAUUUUUUCAAAAUAUUGUGGUUCUUUCAGUUUUUUUAUGUGGAGACUUUUUAUCUUUUGGGAUUUUGUUUUUACUGGUAUGAAGUGAUUUUGGAAUGUAAAUGGUUUACAUUUGCGGACGUUACCCUUAGCAUUUAAAUGAUAAGCAUUAUCAUGCUAUGUCUACCAUGUUAAAAUGCGAACCAUGUAGGCGGACUAAGUCUUGAAUUUGUAUUGUUGAAGGUAUGUUUAGGUGAUUUCCAGCUAUCAUUUAAAUGGUAGUGCAGUGACUUAAGGAAAACAAUUAGACACGUGAGCACUAUAUAUUUUGAUGCUUGCUAUUCAAUGCCGUUCAGCUAAAUAAGCCAC